CAAAAGUAUAUGACACCAGCUGAAUUGCAAUAUUUUCGGACCAAUCAAUUCCCUUGUUAGAAAAAUUACGUUGAAUUUGGGUCAGUGCUGGUUGUGAAUAAUUGGGUCACUCAGUCAUGGAGAGUUCACAUACACGAGAUAAUUGACCGAGUGUCUAAAUUGAAGUGAGGACCGGGGGACGUAAACACCCUCGUCUCAAGGUUUCCCUACCCACGGUCACCCAGCUAAAUCUUCAUGGCCAAUCAGAAGUACCACAGACAUGGAUUAAGUUUUGAUCCGUGAAAUGGUUUGAUGUGUGGUGUACUGGAAAGCAUAUACAGACAAAUCCUUUCAGCAUAAUAUGACAACAAUGGGAAAAGAAGCCAGCUUGGAUGGAUUAGAGUUUGAUGGGGACACGGUGCUAUGUCGAGUUUGUGGAGAUAAGGCUAGCGGAUUUCACUAUGGUGUUCAUGCCUGUGAAGGAUGCAAGG